UGAGCAGUACAUUUCUCUCUGGGUUGCUGCGAUUCUGCAAGAAUCAAUAUUUUAACACUUUUCUGGAAAACUCUGCAUUUCUAAUACUGGACCUCACUGGAUUCUCCUUUGAAGUUGGAGAACAUGAGAACAUGGCACAUGGCCUGAGAUUACACAUUCGGAUUGCUUCCCUCUUGAGACUCUGCCCAGGUAUGAGUGUGCGUGUGUAUAAGUCUGAGCUGGUUAAUUGUUUCUUUGGUUGUUUAGGGCAUGUAUGAUGUUGUCCUGGAUCCUUACUUUAGUCCCUGAAUGUUACACCUGAAGAAGGCUGUUCCACAGCUGUGGAUCCAACAUGCCUCCCUGACCUCUUGCUUGGCAGUUACAUGCCUAUGAUCAGUUGGAGAGGAUGGAGUGACAGCCCCUAGUCUGAUCUUUUCCUACUUGUCUGGCCCUGUAUAAUACAACCCAACACCCAGCUUUAGUUACCAUGGGCUUUUCACUGUUCCCCAUAUAUCUUAUAGCAAUUCUUAUCUUGGCUCCUUUGCCUGCACAGGAUCCCGAUACUGAAAUACUCACACCCACCCUUCUCUGAUGAUCUAACACUUUGUGAUAUGCAAUUAAGCCUUUAUUCUAGGAAGCCUCGCUAGCCACUGCACCCAACAACUUGUAAUUGUUUGUUCACAGUGAGCACCAGAUGACCCUAUUACUAGUUGCUCUUUGUAGACUGGAGAUAAGAAACCUUUUAUUCCAGGUACAUGCACUUAAAAUCCUCUUUUCCAACUUCCUUUGUAUAUAACAGAAAAAAAGAGGAACACCAAGUGACUGUAUAUUCAGAACCUGACUUACUAAUCAUACCAUGCUGCCUGGUUUUGAUUCAGCUUUCCAACUUGACUGUGUGCUCUCAUCCUGGAUCUGUCUUCAUUUUAUCUCCAUGUCCUCCCUGGCAGAAUGCAAUGCACACAGUAGGCUCAGCACAGCUAGCAUCGCUUCUGAUUAUUCCGAGAUAAGGCCACACCCCUUCUGAAAGCAUACCUCAAAGCACACGUACAUCAUUUGAGAGGAAUGAUAUUAAUGAGCUUCCAGGAAGUCAGGCUGUUUCCAGUGCUUGCUGCGUAAUCCAGAGGCACAGCUGGCAGGCUCU
rnacentral:lncRNA from 1 species